rnacentral:rRNA from 1 species
AUGAACGCUGGCGGCGUGCCUAAUACAUGCAAGUCGAGCGGAAAGGCCUCUUCGGAGGUACUCGAGCGGCGGACGGCUGAGUAACGCGUAGGAAUGUACCCCGAAGUGAGGGAUAACUGCUCGAAAGAGUAGCUAAUACCGCAUGUGAUCUACGGAUUAAAGCUUUUAGCGCUUUGGGAACAGCCUGCGUCCGAUUAGCUAGUUGGUAGUGUAAUGGACUACCAAGGCGAUGAUCGGUAGCUGGUCUGAGAGGAUGAUCAGCCAGACUGGGACUGAGACACGGCCCAGACUCCUACGGGAGGCAGCAGUAGGGAAUUUUCCACAAUGGGGGCAACCCUGAUGGAGCAACGCCGCGUGCAGGAUGAAUGCCUUCGGGUUGUAAACUGCUUUUAUUAGUGACGAUUAUGACGGUAACUAAUGAAUAAGGACCUGCUAACUACGUGCCAGCAGCCGCGGUCAUACGUAGGGUCCAAGCGUUAUCCGGAAUUACUGGGCGUAAAGAGUUGCGUAGGUGGCAGAGUAAGUAGAUAGUGAAAGCGUGUGGCUCAACCAUACAUCCAUUAUCUAAACUGCUCAGCUAGAGGACGAGAGAGGUAGAUGGAAUUUCUGAUGUAGGGGUAAUAUCCGUAGAUAUCAGGAGGAACACCGACGGCGUAAGCAGUCUACUGGCUCGUUCCUGACACUAAGGCACGAAAGCGUGGGGAGCAAACAGGAUUAGAUACCCUGGUAGUCCACGCCGUAAACUAUGGAUGCUAGCUGUAAGGAGUAUCGACCCUUCUUGUAGCGAAGCUAACGCGUUAAGCAUCCCGCCUGUGGAGUACGGUCGCAAGACUAAAACAUAAAGGAAUUGACGGGGACCCGCACAAGCGGUGGAGCGUGUUGUUUAAUUCGAUGGUAAGCGAAGAACCUUACCCAGGUUUGACAUCCCGAGAAGGUUUCCGAAAGGAAAUUGUGCCGUAAGGAAUUCGGUGACAGGUGAUGCAUGGCCGUCGUCAGCUCGUGUCGUGAGAUGUUUGGUUAAGUCCAUCAACGAGCGCAACCCUUAUAGUUAGUUGUAUUUUUCUAGCUAGACUGCCCUGGUAACAGGGAGGAAGGGGGGGAUGAUGUCAGGUCAGUAUUUCCCUUACAUCUGGGGCUACAAACACGCUACAAUGGCCGGUACAAAGGGCAGCCAAGUCGCAAGACGGAGCAAACCCCAUCAAAGCCGGUCUCAGUUCGGAUAGCAGGCUGAAACUCGCCUGCUUGAAGCCGGAAUCGCUAGUAACGGUGAGUCAGCACAUCACCGUGAAUACGUUCCCGGGUCUUGUACACACCGCCCGUCAAGCCAUGAAAGUCGCCAAUACCUGACGUGUUGCCUUCGCGCAGCCCUAAGGUAGGGGAGAUGAUUGGGGUU